GUCUCGGCAUCACGGUCUCGUACAGUACUGGGUGACUAUUGAAAGCAACUCGUGUUUUCGGCAAGAGAGCUGCUGGGCUGAGUCUGAUGCACCACUCUAUUGCAUCACAGUUUUUGUGGAGGCCAAACGGUCGCAGUCUGUCGACAACCAUGACCAACAGUUUAACCCGAGCCACGCCAAAAUAGUAAGUUGCCCUGCACCUACGAUGGAAAAAUCUCACGUUGCCAUUUCCGAAAGACAUAACGCUCAUCUCUGCGAUGAUCUGGGCAGAUAGGAAAAUUCUGGCGCUUUCUCGUCCUUCGCGGAGACCGCAGCAAAAAAAGCGUAUCAUGGCUUGCCCAGGCAAGACCUGUGCAGCUCCUGGUGCAUUUUUUUGUUGUUCGGGACUUUGUUUGUAACCAG
rnacentral:lncRNA from 1 species